CACAGGAUGUGGCUGAACACAGCGAUCCCUUGGAUGUUCAAUAUGUUACCAAGCUUGGAGCUAUUGACCUGCUUUCAUCACAGAGCAGCUCUACAGAUUCUCCUGGGUGUUGAUGUGUUGUGUGCUGGAGACCUUAAAUGUUCCUGACUCACUGCAAGUGCCAACAGAAACACAGAAGUAUUUUUCACCAAAAACAAACACCCAGAAAACCAAACAGUAAAAAGUGCUUUGCUUUUUUGCUGAUCAAUGCUUUACUUCCUUUGCCUGCUGUUGGGAGAUCCUGGUACUGCUGGAAAUUAAUAACAAUUUCUUGUGUGUUCCCAAGGUGGGAGCAUGUAUUUGAUGGUAACAAGGAACGUUGAUUAGUGAUUAAAAAAACUUUAUCUGA